rnacentral:rRNA from 1 species
AGAGUUUGAUCCUGGCUCAGGAUGAACGCUAGCUACAGGCUUAACACAUGCAAGUCGAGGGGCAUCAGUUUGGUUUGCUUGCAAACCAAAGCUGGCGACCGGCGCACGGGUGAGUAACACGUAUCCAACCUGCCUCAUACUCGGGGAUAGCCUUUCGAAAGAAAGAUUAAUAUCCGAUAGCAUAUAUUUCCCGCAUGGGUUUUAUAUUAAAGAAAUUCGGUAUGAGAUGGGGAUGCGUUCCAUUAGUUUGUUGGCGGGGUAACGGCCACCAAGACUACGAUGGAUAGGGGUUCUGAGAGGAAGGUCCCCCGACAUUAGGAACUGAGACACGGUCCAAACUCCAACGGGAGGCA